UACGUAGGGUGCAAGCGUUGUCCGGAAUUAUUGGGCGUAAAGAGCUCGUAGGCGGCCUGUCGCGUCGACUGUGAAAACCCAGGGCUCAACCCUGGGCCUGCAGUCGAUACGGGCAGGCUAGAGUGCAGUAGGGGAGACUGGAAUUCCUGGUGUAGCGGUGAAAUGCGCAGAUAUCAGGAGGAACACCGGUGGCGAAGGCGGGUCUCUGGGCUGUAACUGACGCUGAGGAGCGAAAGCGUGGGGAGCAAACAGG
rnacentral:rRNA from 1 species